rnacentral:rRNA from 1 species
GACGAACGCUGGCGGCGUGCUUAACACAUGCAAGUCGAACGGAAAGGCCCUGCUUUUGUGGGGUGCUCGAGUGGCGAACGGGUGAGUAACACGUGAGUAACCUGCCCUUGACUUUGGGAUAACUUCAGGAAACUGGGGCUAAUACCGGAUAGGAUCUCCUGCUGCAUGGUGGGGGUUGGAAAGUUUCGGCGGUUGGGGAUGGACUCGCGGCUUAUCAGCUUGUUGGUGGGGUAGUGGCUUACCAAGGCUUUGACGGGUAGCCGGCCUGAGAGGGUGGACGGCCACCUUGCGACUGCGGUACGGACCAGUCUCCUACGGUAGGCAACAGUCGGGAAUAUUGCACAAUGGGCCGAAGCCUGUUGCAGCAGCCCCCCGUGCGGGAUGACGUCCUUCGGGUUAUAAACCGCUUUCGCCUGUGACGACGCGUUAGUGACGGUAAUGGGUAAAGAAGCACCGGCUAACUACGUG